rnacentral:rRNA from 1 species
CCUACGGGAGGCAGCAGUCGGGAAUUUUGGGCAAUGGGCGAAAGCCUGACCCAGCAACGCCGCGUGAAGGAUGAAAUUUUUCGGAAUGUAAACUUCGCAAGAACGGGAAGAAUAAGUAGAAGAUAAUACCUUCUAUGAUGACGGUACCGUUUGUAAGCUCCGGCUAACUCCGUGCCAGCAGCCGCGGUAGUACGGGGGGAGCAAGCGUUGUUCGGAUUUACUGGGCGUAAAGGGCGCGUAGGCGGCGUGACAAGUCACUUGUGAAAUCUCCGGGCUUAACUCGGAACGGUCAAGUGAUACUGUCGUGCUAGAGUACAGAAGGGGCAACUGGAAUUCUCGGUGUAGCGGUGAAAUGCGUAGAUAUCGAGAGGAACACCUGCGGCGAAGGCGGGUUGCUGGGCUGAUACUGACGCUGAGGCGCGAAAGCCAGGGGAGCGAACGGGAUUAGAUACCCCGGUAGUCCUGGCCUUAAACGAUAAAUGCUUGGUGUCUCGGGUUAUAAAGUCCCGGGGUGCCGUCGCUAACGCUUUUAGCAUUCCGCCUGGGGAGUACGGUCGCAAGACUGAAACUCAAAGGAAUUGACGG